rnacentral:rRNA from 1 species
GAGUUUGAUCCUGGCUCAGAACGUACGCUGGCGGCACGCCUAACACAUGCAAGUCGAACGAAGUAGCAAUACUUAGUGGCAGACGGGUGAGUAACAUGUGGGUAUCUGCCCUUUGGCCUGGAAUAACACGAGGAAACUUGUGCUAAUACCGGAUAAGUCUUUACGGAGAAAGCUUUAUGCACCAUUGGAUGAGCCUGCACUUGAUUAGUUUGUUGGUGGGGUAAUGGCCUACCAAGACUGUGAUCAAUAGCUGAUUUGAGAGGAUGAUCAGCCACAUUGGGACUGAGACACGGCCCAAACUCCUACGGGAGGCAGCAGUGGGGAAUCUUGCACAAUGGAGGAAACUCUGAUGCAGCGAUGCCGCGUGAGUGAAGAAGGCCCUUGGGUUGUAAAGCUCUUUCGUCGGGGAAGAAAAUGACUGUACCCGAAUAAGAAGGUCCGGCUAACUUCGUGCCAGCAGCCGCGGUAAUACGAAGGGACCUAGCGUAGUUCGGAAUUACUGGGCUUAAAGAGUUCGUAGGUGGUUGAAAAAGUUGGUGGUGAAAUCCCAGAGCUUAACUCUGGAACUGCCAUCAAAACUUUUCAGCUAGAGUAUGAUAGAGGAAAGCAGAAUUUCUAGUGUAGAGGUGAAAUUCGUAGAUAUUAGAAAGAAUACCAAUUGCGAAGGCAGCUUUCUGGAUCAUUACUGACACUGAGGAACGAAAGCAUGGGUAGCGAAGAGGAUUAGAUACCCUCGUAGUCCAUGCCGUAAACGAUGUGUGUUAGACGUUGGAAAUUUAUUUUCAGUGUCGCAGCGAAAGCGAUAAACACACCGCCUGGGGAGUACGACCGCAAGGUUAAAACUCAAAUGAAUUGACGGGGACCCGCACAAGUAGUGGAGCAUGUGGUUUAAUUCGAAGAUACGCGCAGAACCUUACCAACACUUGACAUGUUCGUCGCGACUCUAAGAGAUUAGAGUUUUCGGUUCGGCCGGACGAAACACAGGUGCUGCAUGGCUGUCGUCCGCUCGUGUCGUGAGAUGUUGGGUUAAGUCCCGCAACGAGCGCAACCCUCACUUUUAGUUGCCAUCAUUAAGUUGGGCACUCUGAAAGAACUGCCAGUGAUAAGCUGGAGGAAGGUGGGGAUGACGUCAAGUCCUCAUGGCCCUUACGUGUUGGGCUACACACGUGCUACAAUGGUAUCUACAACAGGAAGCGAAACUGCGAAGUUAAGCAAAUCCUUAAAAGAUACCUCAGUUCGGAUUGCACUCUGCAACUCGAGUGCAUGAAGCUGGAAUUACUAGUAAUCGCGGAUCAGCGCGCCGCGGUGAAUACGUUCCCGGGUCUUGUACACACCGCCCGUCACACCAUGGGAGUUGGUUCUACCUUAAGGCAAGGUUUAAAACCCUUGACCACGGUAUAGUCAGCGACUGGGGUGAAGUCGUAACAAGGUAACC